rnacentral:rRNA from 1 species
UCCCGUGACUGUAGCGGGGUGGAAACACCCGUUCCCAUUCCGAACACGGCAGUUAAGCACCCCAGCGCCGAUGAUAGUGGGACCGCAAGGCCCCGCGAAAGUAGGUCGUCGCGGGAU